rnacentral:snRNA from 1 species
GUGUUCAGUUCAGCAGCACAGAUACUAAAAUUGGAACGAUACAGAGAAGGUUAGCAUGCCCCUGUACAAGGAUGACACACAAAUUCAUAAAGCCUUCCAUAGUGAA